rnacentral:lncRNA from 1 species
CCACUCUUUGGGUUUGUUUCAGUUCCAGGUUUUCUUAGUGUGUUUAAGUCUACUUUGUGGUCCAAGCUCUGGCUAGAUUUUCAGAGAGGAUUCUCUGCUACAGUGCCAUCACUCCAGUCAUGUAAAUCAUGUGUCACUUCAUAAAGGAAAAGAGUGGCUGAAGAUACCCAAACUCUUUGUUUUCCUUCAUCCAUCCAACUAUCCAUCCAUCCAUCUUGCCUACUAUCUGUCUGUCACUUGGCUGAAGUUGGUACCAUGACGGAUUUGUAGCUGCUAUUAGAGAUGCCACUCAAGGCAGAGGUUCCAAAGGAGGAGUCAAAGCGGCUGUAAUCUUGAUUCGGUUUUAUGGGCAAUAGAAUUAUUUUACUGAUUCCUGGAAUCAUGGCUCCUAUACAUCUGCACUCUAUGAGCACUUUGGAAAUUAAAGGAUUGCCAGCUUUUCCACUUUGGGACAAAAAACAUUUGUGCUAAACAGCCGCUGCGUCAUAGAUUGAGUGUUGCUGCAGUAAUGUGAAGCAAGCCUACUGUCACCUUCUCAUAGAAAAUUGGAUAUCUUUCCUGACUGCCUGUUGUGGACUGAAUUGAGUCCACUUCAAAAUUCAUAUGUUAAAGCCCUAACCCCCAAUGUCACUGUUAAGGAGGAAAUUAAGGUUAAAUGAGGUCAUAUGGGUGGGAACCUUAAUUCAAUAAGACUGGUGUCCUUAUCAGAAGAAACACACCAAGGAUGCAUACUCACAGAAAAAAGCCCUCAUGAGGACAUAGAGAGAAGAUGGUCAUCAGCAAGGCAAGGAGAGAGGCAUCAAGAGAAACCAAACCUGCAGACACUUUGAUCUUAGACUUCCAGCCUCCAUACUGUGAGAUAAAUUUCUGUUAUUUAAGUCACAUAGUCUGUGGUAUUUUGUUAUGGCAACCCUAGCAAACUACUACACAGCCUUUUCAUGAGUUAUUGUUUUGUUUUGUUUUGUUUUUGCCUAAAAUCUAGAUCCUGCACAACCAUUUCAUGACUUUUGAUUUCAGGGUUAAUACUUUGUAUUGUCUUGGCGUUAAUACUUAUGUAUCAAAUUUUUCUGGGACCUAUUUUUUUCUUUCAAUUGACAAAUGCAAUUACUUUUAUUUUCAGAAAAGUUGCCUUCUAUGUUAUCUUGAAAUAUUUUUGUCCUUUUUCUCAAUGUAAAAAUAAUAUGCAGCCCUAAAAAAGAAUGAAAUUAUGUCCUAUGCAGCAACAUGGAUGCAGCUGGAGGCCAUUAUCCUAAGUGAAUUAAUGCGGAAACAGAAAAGCAAAUACCACAUGUAUUUGUGGAUGUGGUAUCCACAUCCACUUAUAAGUGGAUGCUAAACCUUGGGUACUCACAGACAUAAAGAUGGCAACAAUAGACACUGGGGACUACUAGAACAGGGAGGGAGGGAGGGAGGGGGGCAAAGGUUGAAAAACUAUCAAGUACUAUGCUUACCACCUGAAGGAUGGGAUCAUUUCUACCCCAAACCUCAGCAUCACACAUUAUACCCACAUAACAAACCUGCACAUGUACCCUCCAAAUCUAAAAUAAAAGGUGAAAAUAUUUUAAAAAAUUACAUCUACAAGGGAUCGCCUUUGUCUGCUUCCAGUGAUGUUAUCUCAAAUACUUCCUAAUGACACACUUUUUUAUUCUUACAGAUCUUUUUUUGUUUGUUUGUUUCAUCUUAUAUGUGUGCUUCAACAGGUGCAUCCUUUCUGACUUAGCAUCAGGGUGAUGGUAAGAUCUGUAUUUGAGGUUAGGCUAUGAGGACUCCUUUUUAGACCCUGAGCCUACAGCAGAUGCUACAAAUGCUACAAAUGCUACAAACCAGCUUUGUAGCCUAGAAGAACAUAAGCCUCCCAAAAGAAACACUUUGCGUGUAUAGGUCCCACAAAAAAAUCAUGAAUGAGGGAUCAUUAAUAGUGAGUUUUCUAUCCAGACAAUAUCUCAUAGGGUCUAAUUCACAGUAUUGUUUUAUGUCCAACAUAUUGGUUGCUAGUAACACAGAAAAAUGCUUUAUAAGAGAUUUUUAGAAACACAUUAUGUCAAUGAUUAAUGCCAAUAAUUUCUACUUUAUCAACAAUUAUCCAAAU